GGCAGUGGGGAGGAAAGCAGCAAGAAUGCUCCAGGCAGAGGGAGCAGCAUGAGCCAACUGUCCAGGUGGAGGUGAGCCUGUUGGCCAACCCUCCCGGGAGGGCCUAGUACUGGGCUGAAGGUCAGGUUCAGAGGAGACGUCUGACCUGCCAGCACUGGCACUGGCAGUUUACUCAAGCCCCAGUCUGGGGAGACACAGGAGCUGGUGACACAGUGCAGACAGAGGGGUGCACUGCUUUCCUGUUCACCUCACUGAGCAAGCCUCAGCACGGAACGACCCCUCGGAUCCACAGAACCACCCCUCGGAUCCACAGAACGACCCCUCGGAUCCACAGAACCACCCCUUGGAUCCACAGAACCACCCCUCGGAUCGAGCAGGCUGAGCGGCUCUGCAGUUCCACCUCCUGGCUGCACCCCUGUGCCUCUCUUGUGCUGGCUGCACCCCUGUGCCGUGCCACCCCUUCCUGGACAACGUGGAAGACUUGCCUUUGGCUGUCCAGCACCCAAGGAAGCCAUUCCUGAUCCUCCAGGCCAGGGCUCUUCCCCCUACAUGUAUGUCUCAUUCUCCUCUGAGCACCGUCACUAAGGCUGCCUGACUGGGAACAUCGGAACAGAAAGGAACCAACAGGAGAGGGCCACAGCCCAGCCCCCUCCCUAGGGCAGGGGCCAGAGGCCCAGAGACAAGGAGAGGCAGCCUCAGGGCCACCGCGGAAUCGGAGGCAGAAGCAGUCCAGAGCAGCUCCCCCCGCUCCAUCUCCCUUCUGUCUCCAUCAGUGACCCUCCUCUCUUC